UAUGCUGACCUCUUCGGUAUAGUUUUACCCAAUUGUAUUUGAGAUUGUUUAUUUUCCUAGUGCACUCAUUUUGCUUUCCGUUCGAGGUUGUGAGCUUGUUGGGCUAUUUCUUUUGGUCCUUAACUUUCUGAAUUUUGCAAUCCUUCAAUGCUAGUUUUUCUCUGGGCUCCUCCCGUAACUUAUUGUCCUUCAUGUCCCUUGUUUGUCAAAUGCACCUAAUAUCUGGGAUGAAGCUCAUAAAUUUGGCCAUAAAAGGAGUUACUUGAAAUAAAAGAGUUGGGAAGACACCUCUAUGAGUUUCUCAAGGAAAGAAGCCUUUUAUGUGCUUUCAACGUGAGGUUGACUUUAUUUAAGGGAGAUGAUUUACAGCUUAUGUCAAAGAACUAGCCAGAUUUUAUAGGCAGAUGUGUGAUGUGAAUUCCAACCUUAUAUUUGCUUAGGGAAUUAUAUUUUCUUGUUAUAAUGUUUAUUGAUCCCUUUUUGUCUGUUUUUAACAUUGUGAAAUUCCGGUUCAGAGUUAUAGAUCUCUUCUUUGCAUGUCAUUCUGCCUACUAGUUCUCUUAUCUCUACAACUCUUGCCCUGAACAAAUGUGGUUUUUCGAGGCUUUUAAAUAAGUCAAUGAAGGAACUGAGUCAUAAUCGAU
rnacentral:lncRNA from 1 species